rnacentral:tRNA from 1 species
GCCAACGUAGCUCAGCUGGUAGAGCUACUGAUUUGUAAUCAGUGGGUCGGGGGUUCAAGUCCCUCCGUUGGCUCCA